UGGCAUAGUGGUUAAGUGCUACGGCUGCUAACCGAAAGUUGGCAGUUCGAAUCUGCC
rnacentral:tRNA from 1 species